CGGAGGAUCCAAGCGUUAUCCGGAUUUAUUGGGUUUAAAGGGUGCGUAGGCGGCCUGUUAAGUCAGGGGUGAAAGACGGUAGCUCAACUAUCGCAGUGCCCUUGAUACUGAUGGGCUUGAAUGGACUAGAGGUAGGCGGAAUGAGACAAGUAGCGGUGAAAUGCAUAGAUAUGUCUCAGAACACCGAUUGCGAAGGCAGCUUACUAUGGUCUUAUUGACGCUGAGGCACGAAAGCGUGGGGAUCAAACAGGAUUAGAUACCCUGGUAGUCCACGCCCUAAACGAUGAACACUCGCUGUUGGCGAUACACAGUCAGCGGCUAAGCGAAAGCGUUAAGUGUUCCACCUGGGGAUACGCUCGCAAGAGUG
rnacentral:rRNA from 1 species